UUCGAGCCCACCCAGGGACGGCGUCUUUU
rnacentral:piRNA from 1 species